rnacentral:rRNA from 1 species
AUUGAACGCUGGCGGCAGGCCUAACACAUGCAAGUCGAACGAGCGGCGGACGGGUGAGUAAUGUAUGGGGACUGCCCGAUAGAGGGGGAUAACUACUGGAAACGGUAGCUAAUACCGCAUACUAUCGGAUAACCAAUAGUGGAUUAGCUAGUAGGUGAGGUAAUGGAUCACCUAGGCGACGAUCCCUAGCUGGUCUGAGAGGAUGAUCAGCAACACUGGGAUUGGGACACGGCCCAGAAUCCUACGGAGGCAGCAGUGGGGAAUAUUGCACAAUGGGCGCAAGCCUGAUGCAGCCAUGCCGAGUGUAUGAAGAAGGCCCUAGGGUUGUAAAGUACUUUCAGUCGAGAGGCGUUACCGACAGAAGAAGCAACGGCUAACUCCGUGCCAGCAGCCGCGGUAAUUC